rfam:Ipomoea nil DNA, scaffold: scaffold2780, cultivar: Tokyo-kokei standard.
GGUCUCAUGGUCUAGUGGUUAGGACAUUGGACUCUGAAUCCAGUAACUCGAGUUUAAAUCUUGGUGGGACCU